GUUGUCACAUCUAUACAAGAAAAUGGAGUUUGGUUGAUCUGAGAUGCCUAUUUAGCCGUAUGUGAUGACGCCGGUGGUCGUGUGGCUAUGGUGGUUUUACCAACAGAUCUUGGUGAAUUAGACACACUGCACGUGAUGUUGCUACCGAGAUUUGGUAACGAAGAGGAUGAUGGCCGUGUUUCGGGUUGGAGAAGCGACGAUGGAUGUAAGUGAAAUCAUAUACUCAACCAACUGUUGUCUCAAUUCCAAUCACCCAAUAUGGAGGUAUGCUAAAUUUUAUUGCUGACAUUUAGAAGCAAUU